CAGGAGUGAAGCUGCUGUCUGAUCUUGUGGAGAGUCCACACUGCAGACUGGAGACUCUGAGAUGGAAGCGGUCUCUGUCAGAGUGUGAGGAAUCAGAAAUGUCUUCUGAGGACUAGCUGUGUCCUGAUGAUCCAGAGGUUGAAGCAGCAGCUGGUGUGUGGAGAGGCACUGACUGGGCCAUGUUACUGGGAGGUGGAGUGGAGAGGAGAGCUUCACCCAGCAGUGACUGACGGAGGAAUCACAACAAGUGGAGAUGAGUGUCAGUGCUGCAGUCUGAACUGCUCUGAGAUCAGCUCCACUGUCAGACACAAAGGCAAGUCCACCAUCGUCCCUGUGUGUUCCUCUGGAUGUGGCAGAGUAUCGUCAGUGUAUCUGGACUCUCUGCUGCUGCUCUGUCCUUCUACACCGUCUCUGCAGACACACUGAGACUCCUCCACUCCUUCUGCUCCACCUCCUCCACCUGGACCUGGACCUGGACCUGGACUUUAUUUAGUCUUUUUUACAUUCUUUCAGAUAUUCUGAACCCAAAGUGCCUCUGCAGCUUCCUUCUGUUUAUGUAGAUGAACACGUUUCAUUUCUUUGCUUUCUGUCGCAGCUCCACCCUGUGGAACGAUGGAGUGUUGCAGUUCAUGUCCGCAUGUUUCUAAAUAACAGUGGAAGUUGAUGUUGUAUGUGUGUAGCGUUACCUCUCUGAAGUUCUGGUUAUUUCCACCAAUAGCAGCUGUUUCUCAUAUUGUAACAGAUUUGCUUGUAACAAACAGAAAGAAGCAGAUAAAACCUGAUUCAGUCUGGAUUCAAUCAAGGAAAGUCAGCACCUAAGAUUUUAUUUUGUAUAUCGUUCAAAUAAAAAAAUCUGUUCAACGAUUAUCAACGUGUAACUGUAGAAAGACAUAUUUUAUAUAUCAGUAUAUAAAUCGAUUAGAAGUACAGACACAAAAAUAAUCCAGACUCUCUGGUUUUGGUUGAAAACAAAGAAAUCAUUUUUUAGGUCAAAUGAAGAAACAAAGGCAGCAGCAGACUCCAGAUGAGCUCUAUGGAAAUACGUGAUUGGUUGAUUUAUUCUGUGUCACGAGCUGUGUUCGCUUUCAUGCAAAACAUACUGUUUGUGUUUCAUGCUAUCUAUAAUUACCUGCUUAAUACACUUCCCCUGUGAUACAAAUCUGCAUGGUGUAGUGGCAAUUCCUUCGGAAUAAAGAAACACUCAAGGCAA